GUGAAAUAGCUCUGCUGCUGUUGUGUAGGUACAGUCUGUGAUCACUUCCUUCUUCCCUUCCUCUGUGGAAGCCCCAUUCGGCUGAUGCACCUGGAGGAGAGCGAGGAGAAAAGGAAGUAAAGUUGCAAGCCAGGAUGGCCUCUGAUCUGGGAUCCAGGCCAGCUCUCCUGCUCUGCAGGCCUGUGCUGUCCCCGGGGAAGAGUCCUCCUGCUGCACUGGCUGCUGCUGACCUUGCAGGGGACAUGGAAUCGCUGGCUGUCACAGCACCAGAGGGAGCGGGUGCAACAGCAUCACCAGCCGAGGUGGAAGCAGUAGAAGAAGCAGCGGCACCAGGGGAGGUGCAAAGUCCAGAGGGAGCAGCUUUACAUGGAAAAGUGGUCACCCCUGGAGGAGGAGCAGCGGUGACAGCGGUAGAAGCACCAGAAAACUUGGAGGCAGAAAGAGUUGCUGAAGCAUUUGCCCGGGCAGCAGAAAGGAUAGCAAAAUCAGAAGUAGCCAAGGUUUUGCAAUCAGCAAUAGCUGAGCUCAAAGAGAAGAGGAGGAGUGCUUGGCUAAAGCCGAGGAACAACACUCAACAGGAGGAGGAAGAUUGGGUGAAAGAUGGAGAGGUGAAAUGAAAUGAAGGAGAGGUGGCAUUCUGGGUCAUACCCAACAGGGGGCUGGUACUCUGAAACUGUGACUGCUCCUGGAAGGCAAUAGGGCUGCCAAUUACAUCUCUUUUGUGACUGCCCAUACUAUUAAAAAUAAAAAUAUGCCAUAUUCAGUAGUGUUCA
rnacentral:lncRNA from 1 species